rnacentral:piRNA from 1 species
UGCUCGCCCGCAACCGCAGUAAUCUAGGAUG